rnacentral:snRNA from 1 species
UUAUUUAUUGAGUGCUGGUUAAAAUUUUUGUUCUCCCCAGGGUGAGGGUUACUGGUUGCACUGCAAAUGAGCUGACCUCUGCAAUUUCUUCAAACGUGGGAAACUCGACUACAUAAUCUGUGGUGGUGGGAGAUAUGUUUACUCUUUCCCC